rnacentral:rRNA from 1 species
GUGCCAGCCGCCGCGGUAAUACCGGCAGCCCGAGUGAUGACCGAUCUUAUUGGGCCUAAAGCGUCCGUAGCUGGCUACGCAAGUCCGUCGGGAAAUCCACUCGCCCAACGAGUGGGCGUCCGACGGAAACUGCAUAGCUUGGGACCGGAAGGCUCGAAGGGUACGUGCGGGGUAGGAGUGAAAUCCCAUAAUCCUGGACGGACCGCCGAUGGCGAAAGCACGUCGCGAGAACGGAUCCGACAGUGAGGGACGAAAGCCAGGGUCUCGAACCGGAUUAGAAACCCGGGUAGUCC